CCUACGGUGAGCAGCAGUAGGGAAUUUUCGUCAAUGGGCGCAAGCCUGAACGAGCAAUGCCGCGUGAACGAGGAAGGUCUUCGGAUCGUAAAGUUCUGUUGAAGGGGAAAAAGAGCGGAGAGAGGAAAUGGUCUCCGAUUGAUAUUACCCUUCGAGGAAGUCACGGCUAACUACGUGCCAGCAGCCGCGGUAAUACGUAGGUGGCGAGCGUUAUCCGGAAUGAUUGGGCGUAAAGGGUGCGUAGGCGGCCUGCUAAGUCUGGAGUGAAAGGUACCGGCUCAACGGGUAUAGGCUAUGGAAACGGGCGGGCUAGAGAGCAGGUGAGGGGGGUGGAACUCCAUGUGGAGCGGUAAAAUGCGUAGAUAUAUGGAAGAACACCAGUGGCGAAGGCGGCCGCCUGGCCUGUUACUGACGCUGAGGCACGAAAGCGUGGGGAGCAAAUAGGAUUAGAUACCCUGGUAGUC
rnacentral:rRNA from 1 species